CCUGCAACCUCAUGGUUCCUAGUCGGAUUCGUUAACCACUGAGCCACGACGGGAACUCCUCAUUAUAAAUAUUCUGUGUUUGUUUGGCCAUUGGGUGAUUUCAGAGGACUGCCUGAGGCCCUUCUUAAGGAGCUUGGCUCAUAGCAUCUAUGAUCUGGCAGCAGCCUCGUGUCCAUGGAGAGAGCACACUUAAGGAUGGAAACGUUGGCAUGGCAAGUUGGGUGGUGGGCAUCUGGGGUGUGUGGAAGAGGGGGUGAGGACUGCCACCAGAGUAGCGGUUCUGGUCACUGAACAGUGUUGGAGAGGGGGACGGGCCGGCCAAGUGUGCGCACCUGAGCCUCCCAUGUUUUCUUUAUUCUACACGAACUCACUGAGUCACCUCCUUCUCCCUGACCACCUGCCUCCCUGUGUCGCUGCCCAGAUGUCCAAUCACCUGUUUUCCUAGCUCUGUGGACUCCCAUUCAGAGAGUGAAAACAACCUUUCUUCUGGACCUUCCUUGGGGGGGAGGGGGGUCUGUACCCUUUAAGUUUGGGGCCAUUGGAGGCGUGAAGACAGAGACUGGUCUGGGCCUGGCUGUGUCUCGCCCUGAGAAAGCCAGGCAUGAUGAAGCUGAACGUGAAAGAGCCUGGAAACGGAAAGUUGGCCUUGAUCCCAAGGCUCCCUCAAUUUCCUCCGAGCCAGUCCCAAAGAGCUUUUAUUCUCUGGUUCUGAGAGGCAGGAACAAAGGGGCAGACCUUUUCUGGAGGUUACCAAACCACUCUCUUGCCCUCUAUUACCUCCAUCCCCUGGCCAGGGAGGGGCGGAAGAAGGAAGAUUUUCAGAGUAGACAUCCAAAGUCAACAGGUGGAGUGUCAGGUGACAGGGCCCAGCCCCUCGCAUAAGCCACUGGGGUCCUCCUGAAACCUUGCCGCUUCCUUGUUCCUGGUCUGAGACUGGCCUCCCGCCCCAGGUUUGCCUGGCUGGUGGCCACUGGAAAAAUAUCCCCCGUGAGCCUCUGCAGCCUGCGCCCAUCCAGGCCUCAACAUUCCCAUCUGUACAAUGGUGAACAAUCUGCUGCCUGCUGGUGACGUGCCCUAAAAUUAAUUCUCAGUUGUCUGUGCUACAGGGAGCAAGGAGAAUGUUGAUAAAAUGAAGAGUUUAGACAAGCGGCUUUUCCUAACUGGUCGGCGCCCCUCCUGCCAGGCUUUAAAGUAGCCAACUUCCCGAUGCCCUUUCCCUGAAUGCUUGUUGGAGGUGAAGUACAACAUCUUCGGACAAAGUAUGGGACAACUUGGAAAACGCCUUCAGUCACGGUCAUCCUGGCUCUCCUUCUGUAAGACCUCACUGGCUCCUGCAGGAGAGGAAGAAACCCCCAAAGUCUUCGCAGAAAGCAUGGGAAGUUGGCUGCAUGGGCAAGUGUUUGCCCUGAGUUACUUGAGAGAGAGGGACACCCCUGCAGGCAAGUAUCUGAGCUCGAUUUUUACAAAGGCCAGUAAGUACCUCAGGGCUGGUGAAUGCAUUUAAAGCUCUAAGUUCCAGCUCCCUGAACUUUUCCACUUCACUUAGCGGGGACAGGAAUAAGGCAGCUCGGUGACUGAAGAGAACGAAUUACUGGAAAUGGUCAUGAAACUUUUACACACGGGCCUAAAAGAGGAAACCAAGGAAUGUUCUGGAACCUUUAACAGGGAAGGGCCUGACCAGAUACGCAGGCUGUAAAUCCAAGCGCGAGGGCAAGGUGCUAUGAUCGAGGACCUAAGCCUUGGCUGUUUUGCGUUCAGGGCCCAGGAGUGUAGCUAUUUCCUAUCUCUGACUUUAUCUUCUCAUCUGUAAAAUGGGAAUUCUCUUCCUUACCUUACAGAAAUGUUGGAUCAUAUGCAACUUGUAAUGUGAAAACACCUGGGGGCCUGCUAUAGAGAGAUACUUAAUGAGCAGUAGCAGUGUUAAGCAGCCAGGGUCCCCGUCUGGGACAGGCAGGCUGGCGUGGAGAGGAGCAUCACCUGGGAACAUCUUCCUUUCCGCCUGGGGCAGCUGGUCCGGCUGGAGGCUCAGCUCCAGAACGUGUCAUCUGAAUCAAGGUGACUCUCGAUG